GAAGUACAAGGGAGACAAAAGCAGGCAGAAGAAAGAGCCUUUUGAGAGGGGGGAAAAGAGGCCAGUACCCUGGGGACUGGCACAGUUAUACUUGCUGUGUAAGGUGGGCAUUAGCUAGCUCUGCUGAGAUAUCUUUCCUGCGUUCCACAUUUAAUUAGCAAUCAUUUGUACUUAUCUUUCAUCUUUUACUCAAUCACAUCAAACGGUCAAUAUCAUCUUGAGCAGGAAGAAGAGGUAGGGAGAAAUUGUCACUGGCCAGAGACUUUCUCGUCUACUUAGUACAGAACCAAGAAUGUUUGUGUCAUCACAGGGCACCGACUUAGUACAGAACCAAGAAUGUUUGUGUCAUCACAGGGCACCAGGUGAAUGUAACUGACUCUCAUGUGGUCCUCCCCAGUCUGUCUGUGGUCCCCUGGUCACCAAACUGCCUUCUGUGAUUCAGUGAAAUGCCUGGUGUGCUAGGUACAUUGUUCUGGGAUUUGACUAAUAAUUAAUAAGCAGGGCACAACUAGGCAAUUGUGAAGGAAUGAAGUUCCUCAGCUCGCAGCUUGUAAGGGCCUGGCUCCCAGGGAACUAAGGGAGUCCUGGGCUCUCGGGGAGAGCUCCUUUCCCUGAGCAAAGCUCCUUUGUUCCAGGUGGUUUGGUGUGCUGGGCACAACCACACCCUCCCUGCGCCUCUUAUGGCUUCCAGGACUCCCACCAUUCAGGACUCAUUUUUUGGCUCUAGCACAAUUGUUUUGAACUGAAGGAAUCAGAGACUUAGGGCAACUUCUGGAAGUUUCUACCCAGUUGGCAAAGAAAUCUUCUCAAUCCCCUACUUUCCCUAAACUAAGAGGACCAGAAAGUCUGCAGGCCCCAUGAUAUUCUACAUCUGCUGACACCAGGGAAACUCCACUACAAGGGAGUUGCAGUCUGUCACUCAACUUGCUGAGGACCAACUCUCGGGGGCACAGUCCCUACCUGCAAGCUGCUUGGAUCUCUUUGACAGUGGCAUCUGCAAACAGACCGAUCUGUUCCAGCUUCUCUGGCUCUCCAAGAGGAGGGAAUCAAUUAGGAGGCAACUGCAUUCAGCUGAACUUUCCCAGGCCUUCCUCAUCACCACAGCAGAACUUAAUAAAAGGUUCACUUUUUUCGGAAA